CCUACGGGAGGCAGCAGUCGAGAAUCAUUCACAAUGGGGGAAACCCUGAUGGUGCGACGCCGCGUGGGGGAAUGAAGGUCUUCGGAUUGUAAACCCCUGUCAUGUGGGAGCAAAUUAAAAAGAUAGUACCACAAGAGGAAGAGACGGCUAACUCUGUGCCAGCAGCCGCGGUAAUACAGAGGUCUCAAGCGUUGUUCGGAAUCACGGGGCGUAAGGCGUGCGUAGGCUGUUUCGUAAGUCGUGUGUGAAAGGCGCGGGCUCAACCCGCGGACGGCACAUGAUACUGCGAGACUAGAGUAAUGGAGGGGGAACCGGAAUUCUCGGUGUAGCAGUGAAAUGCGUAGAUAUCGAGAGGAACACUCGUGGCGAAGGCGGGUUCCUGGACAUUAACUGACGCUGAGGCACGAAGGCCAGGGGAGCGAAAGGGAUUAGAUACCCUUGUAGUC
rnacentral:rRNA from 1 species